rnacentral:rRNA from 1 species
GGAUACGGCCAAAUCUUCCGCAUCGCGUCGGACCUCAGAAGCUCAGCAGAGUUUUCCCGGUUAGCACUUGGAUGGGAGACUGCCUGGGACACCAGAUGUCAUUUGCC